GUUACUGUUAGCGCUAUAUUAUGUAAUUAAAUUAAUAUUUAAUGUUGUUUCCACUGUAUGGACCAAACUGUUACCCCUUUCUACCAGCAGGUGGCAGUAUUUAAACGACUGACUGUAUUGUGCCUUUGGCAACUGUUUUAAAUCAAGAUUACUGAUACAGAUGUAUUUAUUGAUGUUCAUUUCAUUUUUUAUUUUAUUUGCAACCUAGUUAUCAUCAUCGUCUACAUGCCCUUCUGUUUUAACCUGAUUCUAACACUGCUAUCAUCUCCAUGCUGGUAUGUUGAAAUCAGAAAUGUCCUAAUGUAGGCCAUUUAGUCAAAACAAUGAUUUACCAGUGUGCUAUAUACUGUGUGAAUCUUUCUUCUCUAUACACAUUCCAGUGUGUAUAACAUACAACACUCCCAUUGUGUCACGCAAGUGAAGAUAAGCCAUAAAGGUCUUAAACAUUUAUUCAACAUAAUAGCACAGACAUGCUUUCAAAGACAUUGCAUGUGCAAUAUAUGGUUGCAGAACAUUUACCGUGAAGUCCUAAGGUUUAUAAUUCUGUUUAGUAUAAUUGCUUCUAUAUACAGUUCAUGGAGAUCUCUGCUAAUGAGUUUAUGAUUUGAAUCAUGUGUGUUAAAUAAGGGAGACAUACAAAAUGUGCAGAGCAGUGGGAUCCAGGAAUAACAUUGAGAACCACUGGUCUACAGGACCAGAGAAGACAGCAAACCAUGCAGAAGAGACCCCAAAGGAUACUAAAGGACAGUACCCGCCCAGCCACAACCUGUUCACCCUGCUGCCUUCUGGAAACAAUAGAAGUUUCUGCUGCCAGACUGUAGAGCAGCCCCCCCCCCCCAAGUUAUCGGACUGGUAAACUCUAGUUCAUCCUUAGCACUCCUCCACUGAUUAUAAUUUAUUUCUGUUUAUUAUAAUUGCUUCUAUAUUAAUGUAUAUUGUCUGCUAUAGCAAAAGCAAGUUACAAAGUGAAUGUUUUGGAAAUGCCAAGUCAAAAGUUCUGACCUUAAAAUUAUUGAAAUGUUGGGGAAGGAUGAGGAAGCAAGCAGCUCAUGUGAGGAAACCCACCAAUAUUGGUGCUAAAGCUGUUCUGUACAGAGCAAUGGGCAAAUAUUUAUCCAAGCCAAUAAGCAGGAUUGCUCAAAAGUUACUGGAAACGUUUUGUUGCAAUUAUUGCUGCUUUACUCAGCAUGGACAGCUUGUUUUUAGUAAUGCAAUUAUGUUUUUGGACUUUCUUUUUAGGACCUUGUAAAAUGUUCUAACUUUAGGGCUUAACUGUAAAUGUUCUGCAACCAUAGAUUGCACAUGCAAUGUCUUUGAAAGCAUGUCUGUGCUAUAUAUGUUGAAUAAAUGUUUAAAACUUG